AUGAACGCUGGCGGCGUGCUUAACACAUGCAAGUCGAACGGAAAGGCCCAAGCUUGCUUGGGUACUCGAGUGGCGAACGGGUGAGUAACACGUGGGUGAUCUGCCCUGCACUUCGGGAUAGCCUGGGAAACUGGGUCUAAUACCGGAUAGGACCACUUCUUGGAUGUUGUGGUGGAAAGUUUUUUCGGUGUGGGAUGAGCUCGCGGCCUAUCAGCUUGUUGGUGGGGUAAUGGCCUACCAAGGCGUCGACGGGUAGCCGGCCUGAGAGGGUGUACGGCCACAUUGGGACUGAGAUACGGCCCAGACUCCUACGGGAGGCAGCAGUGGGGAAUAUUGCACAAUGGGCGCAAGCCUGAUGCAGCGACGCCGCGUGGGGGAUGACGGCCUUCGGGUUGUAAACUCCUUUCGCUAGGGACGAAGCGUUUUUGUGACGGUACCUGGAGAAGAAGCACCGGCUAACUACGUG
rnacentral:rRNA from 1 species